CGUGGUGCCCGUGCACCCCCUGACGAAGUUGCCUGCUACCGGCGGUGAGUCAUGGGACCUCCGGGCGUGGCAGGUGCGAGGCUAGCUGGAGUGGCGGGAAGACGCAAGGUACGUAUUGUGGAGCGCAAUCGUGUGUCAUGUGCAGUACAUGUAGCCGCGGUCGACUGAGUAGUACCCGACUCCUCACUUAACCACUACUCUAUUAAAGCUAGUUAAUUUUAUUGCCCCUUCAAUGAUUUUCGUGGUCAAAUCUUGAUUCCCCACUGCUGGAACUACAGCGCAACAGUAUCCUCAUCGCACUACGAAACGUGUCGCAACAUGUCCAAACGUUUGCGGUGGUAGUAGCUCGCCCUGCGCUCUCCUCCAUCACUCGGCGCACCAUUGGUCGUGUAGCUCUCGUGGGGAUAACACGUCCCGCUCUGUGCCAGGACUUGCCAUUGCUUUAGGUGCCUUCUAUCAUAGUGAGUGAAGACCAAGAUGUCAGACAACGGGGAAAUUUACCCAGAGGGACUGAUGAACGUAUCCAUCGUAGACAUGGACUCGUCAACUAUUAUCCUGGAAGGCGGGGAUGAGGCGCAAAUCUACCAUGAAUUGCAAAACGUGGAGGUGGCACCAACCCUGCAAAACCAAGCUUCAUGGAUCAAUCAGACUUUUCCCACGAUAACAGUGCCAGCUUUGAAUCAACAACCACUGUUACCCCAAGGUGAGGGGGUCUAUUCGUCUGUCUCCAUGAUGGAUCAACAACAACCGUCAGCCCAAGAUGAAGGGGUCGUUCCGUGUGCCUCCAUGAUGGAAGGAACAGCUUUGCAUCAACAACUGUCAGCCCAAGGUGAAGGAGGCGUUCAGCCUUCUUUCCAAACCUCCCGUAACGAGGCAAUCCCAGGGACCAGCAGCGGACGUAUGGGGAGAAAGCGCAAUAGUAAGGGAGAAGAUGAAAGGGACAAGAAACUCCCCAAGUACAUGUGGGACCCCAACGAUCCAAGACUCACGCCUGAACAAAGAGACUCCGUCAAAAAUUCAAAGAAUGCUAAAAGGAACAGAGAUAAGAAGAACGACGAAAUGCACAAGCUGCAGCAAAAGUGCGAUGAUCUCAAAAAAGAAAAUGAAAACCUGAAAAUGGAAA